rnacentral:rRNA from 11 species
UGCCCGGUAGCUAAAUGCGGAAGAGAUAAGUGCUGAAAGCAUCUAAGCACGAAACUUGCCCCGAGAUGAGUUCUCCCUGAGACUUAGAGUCUCCUGAAGGAACGUUGAAGACGACGACGUUGAUAGGCCGGGUGUGUAAGCGCAGCGAUGCGUUGAGCUAACCGGUACUAAUGAACCGUGAGGCUUAACCUUACAACGCCGAAG